rnacentral:rRNA from 1 species
UUUUUGGCGGUUAAAAAUUAAUUUAGAGGAGCUUGUAUAUAGUAUUAACUCUUUAUAUUUAAUAGAUUAAUGCUUAUUUAUUUCCGUUAUUAGAUUAAGGUCUUAUAAGAAAAUUCUUAAAUUUCAGGUCAAGAUGUAGCAAUAAUUUAGAAGUAUUAGCUACAAUUAUGAAAUAAAUGGAUUUUAUUUUUAAAAUGUAAAUGAAAUUGAAUUUAGUUGUAAUAUAUUUUAGAAAAAAAAUAUGAAGGGGAAGUAUUUAAUGUAUAUAUUGCCCGUCACUUCUCUUAUGAGAGAGAAUAAGUCGUAACAAAGUAA